GAUGAACGCUGGCGGCGUGCUUAACACAUGCAAGUCGAACGGAAAGGCCAGUGCUUGCACUGGUACUCGAGUGGCGAACGGGUGAGUAACACGUGGGUGAUCUGCCCUGUACUUCGGGAUAAGCUUGGGAAACUGGGUCUAAUACCGGAUAGGACAACUUUUUGGAUAUUGUUGUGGAAAGCUUUUGCGGUAUGGGAUGAGCUCGCGGCCUAUCAGCUUGUUGGUGGGGUAAUGGCCUACCAAGGCGUCGACGGGUAGCCGGCCUGAGAGGGUGUACGGCCACAUUGGGACUGAGAUACGGCCCAGACUCCUACGGGAGGCAGCAGUCGGGAAUAUUGCACAAUGGGCGCAAGCCUGAUGCAGCGACGCCGCGUGGGGGAUGAAGGCCUUCGGGUUGUAAACUCCUUUCGCUAGGGACGAAGCGUAAGUGACGGUACCUGGAGAAGAAGCACCGGCUAACUACGUG
rnacentral:rRNA from 1 species